UUCGGGGGUACUCGAGUGGCGAACGGGUGAGUAACACGUGGGUGAUCUGCCCUGCACUUUGGGAUAAGCCUGGGAAACUGGGUCUAAUACCGAAUAGGACCGCAUGCUGCAUGGUGUGUGGUGGAAAGCUUUUGCGGUGUGGGAUGGGCCCGCGGCCUAUCAGCUUGUUGGUGGGGUAAUGGCCUACCAAGGCGACGACGGGUAGCCGGCCUGAGAGGGUGUCCGGCCACACUGGGACUGAGAUACGGCCCAGACUCCUACGGGAGGCAGCAGUGGGGAAUAUUGCACAAUGGGCGCAAGCCUGAUGCAGCGACGCCGCGUGGGGGAUGACGGCCUUCGGGUUGUAAACCUCUUUCAGUAUCGGCGAAGCUCCAAGGUUUUCUUUGGGGUGACGGUAGGUACAGAAGAAGCACCGGCCAACUACGUGCCAGCAGCCGCGGUAAUACGUAGGGUGCGAGCGUUGUCCGGAAUUACUGGGCGUAAAGAGCUCGUAGGUGGUUUGUCACGUUGUCCGUGAAAACUCACAGCUUAACUGUGGGCGUGCGGGCGAUACGGGCAGACUGGAGUACUGUAGGGGAGACUGGAAUUCCUGGUGUAGCGGUGGAAUGCGCAGAUAUCAGGAGGAACACCGGUGGCGAAGGCGGGUCUCUGGGCAGUAACUGACGCUGAGGAGCGAAAGCGUGGGGAGCGAACAGGAUUAGAUACCCUGGUAGUCCACGCCGUAAACGGUGGGUACUAGGUGUGGGUUUCCUUCCUUUAGGGAUCCGUGCCGUAGCUAACGCAUUAAGUACCCCGCCUGGGGAGUACGGCCGCAAGGCUAAAACUCAAAGGAAUUGACGGGGGCCCGCACAAGCGGCGGAGCAUGUGGAUUAAUUCGAUGCAACGCGAAGAA
rnacentral:rRNA from 1 species